AUCCAUCUGACGAGCUUCAAAUAGGACGAAAUGCGCGUCCUGAAU
rnacentral:hammerhead_ribozyme from 1 species